rnacentral:rRNA from 1 species
UACGUAGGGGGCUAGCGUUGUCCGGAAUCAUUGGGCGUAAAGAGCGUGUAGGCGGCUCGGUAAGUCCGCUCUGAAAGCCCGGGGCUCAACCCCGGGAGGCGGGCGGAUACUGUCGAGCUAGAGUCCGGAAGAGGCGAGUGGAAUUCCUGGUGUAGCGGUGAAAUGCGCAGAUAUCAGGAGGAACACCAAUAGCGAAGGCAGCUCGCUGGGACGUUACUGACACUGAGGCGCGAAAGCGUGGGGAGCGAACAGG